AGGGGGAGCCCCGGAUCCUCGGCUGUGUCCCUCAGCGCCCUGGGCUCCGGGGCCUGCACUGCUGCAAUCAUGCUCCCAGGGCGCGCAGCCCCCU
rnacentral:pre_miRNA from 1 species